AUACACACAUAAACAUACAUGCGUACAUAGUUCUGCAUGAGUUGCAGCACAGCGAAAUAAUCAUUUCUUCGUAAAACUAAUAGCGUCCUUGUCUCCCCGUUUGACUUCCUUACUCUGUCACUUCCAUUUUCUCCUCCACUAUUCCCUCUCUUCCCCACUGUAUAUAUAUACAUACAUACAUACACACACACAACCCCCCCCCCCACGCACACAUAUAUAUAUAUAUGUUCUUAUAUAGAAAGUAAUGUAAUCACUUAUUGCAGUUUAAUAUCUCCAUAAUCACUUUCACCUCUUCUUCUCGUUCUCAUCCUUAUAAACAUCAUCAUUAUUAGAACCACUUAAACAACAGGCGUCAGUCACCGCGCCACCGCUAUGAACACCUCCAUCACCACCUCCACUACCACCACCACAACCACCAUCAGUUCUUUCAGUAUCAUCAAAUUUCUCGCUUCUCCGUAAUGGGUGAACGGACGGUAAUUUUUAAAUUCAUCAGCGAGACGAGGACAAAAUUUACCGGUUGACUACCUCAUGUAAAAAUCUGUGCAAAGGACUGGACGAAAGAAUGGAACGCAGCAUCUGAAUAUAUAACAGGUAUGUUUGAACAAUAGCUUUGACAUAACUGGUACCAACUUCAAAUGAGUGCUAGAUAAUCUCAAGACUGAAGAGUUUCCAGAACGGACAUGCCAAUAAGGAAAAUGAAAGUCUGAUUGUCUGGAGACAAGAGGAUAGCUGAGAGUAAUCAUGGAUUGCCCGAACAGCACCCUACAGAACACAACGACGCGGCCAGAAAGUCCAGAAAAUGAAGUGCUGUCUUCUAUAAGCAAAGCAAUUAUGGAUUUUGCGGUACCAACAGUUUGCGUCAUAGGAUUACUUGGCAACUUGCUAAAUAUGCUUGUCCUCAGCAGAGAGAAAAUGCAACGGAACCUGUCCAAAAUGGAAAAGUCAGCACACUACGGAAUGAUCGCUUUGGCAUUUUCCGAUUUCAUGUUCUGUCUGCUGGCUUUGCUAUUUACUUUAGUACCUAGACAUAAAUGCUACAAGAGCAGAAGCAUAUUACUCUAUAUCCAUUUUUUGUUGAGUCCGUCCAUCACCAUUUUCAUAAUUGCAAGCACCAUGAUGAUUGUUUACAUGGCGGCGGAGCGGUAUUUGGCAGUCUGCCACCCUUUCAAGGCACGACGCAUUAUAUCGCUGCGGCGGACGCGAAUUAUCAUUACAAUGGUAUUUGUCUGUUGCGCCUUGGCAACCACUCCUUUAUUCAUGGAGCGUAGGAUCGAGGUGGAGGAUUAUGAGGGACAAGAGUUUUAUAAAGUUAAUCAGCACUUCGAUGAAGGAGUUAUUGUCAUACGCCGACUUUGCUGGUCUGUCCUAUUUGAUCUAGUGCCGUGUGGCCUGCUAAUCUAUUUUAACACUUGUUUGAUUUACAGUAUAAAGAAAGCGAAGAAAUUGCGAAUGAAUAUGGCACCUUUGAAUGAUGAACGACGCGGCACUAUAAAUCGCAAUUCAUCAUAUUCCAGCCAUCGUCACAAGCCAAAGUCACAUAGUGGAUGUACAUCAACAGUUGGCGGUAUUGGUAACGCCUCAACGACUGAACUGUCACUGCGCCCUGAAAACAACUCUAUUUUUCGUGAUGAUAAACUAAUACGAGGAGCAGAAAUCGAAGUUCACCUUAGAACCGAAGGCCGUUCAAUGCGUUCUCAGUCAGUAACACAUCGGCGACGCCAUACAGACACAGCCUUAAACAGCGUUACUGCCACCCUUGUAUCCAUUGUAGUCAUGUUUCUUGUACUAGUUUCUCCAUCUGAGAUACUUAAAUUCUCCUUCCAUUUAGCCAGUGUCGACAGUGCCCUAUCCGAUGUUAUACGGGACAUUACAAAUUUCAUGCAAGCCUUGAACUUCUCGGCUAAUUUCAUACUAUAUUGCGUUAUGAACAAAUAUUUCCGUGAAACAUUAGCGGCUAUGUUUUGCUUUUACACAAACGGUCAUGCAUCACUUAGUAAGAAAUCUGAAUAUCCAACGAUCUCUUUAAGGGGAUCACCAUCAUCAUCCUAAUAAUAAUAAUAAUACAAUCAAUAUUAAAGAAGUCGACGAAUGAGAACUCGCAACCAUUGUCUAUAUAUUCAUUGAAUACGUGAAUAGGUACUCAUGGAUUCCACGCACAAACUUAUACCCACACAUACCCACACACACAUACACAAAAACAUCUAUCUGUGAAUACAUAUAUAUAUAUAUAUGUAUAUAUAUAUAUGUAUAUAUACAUAUAUAUAUAUAUAAUAUAUAUAGAUAUAUAUAUAUAUAUUAUAUAUAUAUAUAUAUAUAUAUAUAUCAACAACACGGGAGAGGGAAGAUACCUCAGGGAUGCCCUCAGCAUAUUAAAUAAAAUAUGGUACGGUUUCGCAUAUACAAUACAUUGAGUGGAAAACAAGAUUUUUGAAUAACUGAAGUUGCAGAGUUAUUCCACUUUAA
rnacentral:misc_RNA from 1 species